UGAGAUCAUGGUUGAUUCGAAGGUGAACGUUGAAGAGGAAGAGGAGCCAAUACCAGCAAGUCAUGUAUACUGCCCACCCCAACACAUGACAAGGUUGAAUUUGGAUUCAGAUAAACCUUCAGUAGAUGUAUGGUACAAUCCUUACGUGCAGAUGCAAGGAUCUUUGAAACAAGGAGACAUAUUUCGCACAAAAGAAGAAUGUGUAAACGCCAU
rnacentral:lncRNA from 1 species